AUUGAACGCUGGCGGCAGGCCUAUCACAUGCAAGUCGAACGGUAACAGGAAGCAGCUUGCUGCUUUGCUGACGAGUGGCGGACGGGUGAGUAAUGUCUGGGAAACUGCCUGAUGGAGGGGGAUAACUACUGGAAACGGUAGCUAAUACCGCAUAACGUCGCAAGACCAAAGAGGGGGACCUUCGGGCCUCUUGCCAUCGGAUGUGCCCAGAUGGGAUUAGCUAGUAGGUGGGGUAACGGCUCACCUAGGCGACGAUCCCUAGCUGGUCUGAGAGGAUGACCAGCCACACUGGAACUGAGACACGGUCCAGACUCCUACGGGAGGCAGCAGUGGGGAAUAUUGCACAAUGGGCGCAAGCCUGAUGCAGCCAUGCCGCGUGUAUGAAGAAGGCCUUCGGGUUGUAAAGUACUUUCAGCGGGGAGGAAGGGAGUAAAGUUAAUACCUUUGCUCAUUGACGUUACCCGCAGAAGAAGCACCGGCUAACUCCGUG
rnacentral:rRNA from 1 species